GAUGAACGCUGGCGGCGUGCCUAAUACAUGCCAGUCGAGCGAACGGACGAGAAGCUUGCUUCUCUGAUGUUAGCGGCGGACGGGUGAGUAACACGUGGAUAACCUACCUAUAAGACUGGGAUAACUUCGGGAAACCGGAGCUAAUACCGGAUAAUAUUUUGAACCGCAUGGUUCAAAAGUGAAAGACGGUCUUGCUGUCACUUAUAGAUGGAUCCGCGCUGCAUUAGCUAGUUGGUAAGGUAACGGCUUACCAAGGCAACGAUGCAUAGCCGACCUGAAAGGGUGAUCGGCCACCCUGGAACUGAGACAGGGUCCAGACUCCUGCGGGAGGCAGCAGUCGGGAAUCUUCCGCAAUGGGGGAGAGCCUGACAGAGCAACGCCGCGUGAGUGAUGAAGGUCUUCGGAUCGUAAAACUCUGUUAUUAGGGAGGAACAAAUGUGUAAGUACCUGUGCACAUCUUGACGGUACCUAAUCAGAAAGCCACGGCUAACUACGUG
rnacentral:rRNA from 1 species